rnacentral:lncRNA from 1 species
GCUGCGCAUACACCAUCCAAAGCAUAGAAAGAAUUUUGAGUGAUGAAGAUAAACCAUUGUUUGGUCCUUUACCUUGCAGACUGGAUGACUGUCUUAGGUCAUUGACGAGAUUUGCCGCAGCACACUGGACAGUGGCAUCAGUUUCAGUGGUGCAAGGACAUUUUUGUAAACUUUUUGCAUCACUGGUGCCUAAUGACAGCCAUGAGGAACUUCCAUGCAUAUUAGAUAUUGACAUGUUUCAUUUAUUGGUGGGCUUGGUGCUUGCAUUUCCUGCGUUGCAGUGUCAGGAUUUUUCAGGGAUCAGCCUUGGCACUGGAGACCUUCACAUUUUCCAUCUGGUUACUAUGGCACACAUCAUACAGAUCUUACUUACCUCAUGUACAGAAGAGAAUGGCAUGGAUCAAGAAAAUCCCACUUGUGAAGAAGAAUCAGCAGUUCUUGCUUUGUAUAAAACACUUCACCGGUAUACGGGAAGUGCCUUGAAAGAAAUACCAUCCGGCUGGCAUCUGUGGAGGAGUGUCAGAGCUGGAAUCAUGCCUUUCCUGAAGUGUUCUGCUUUAUUUUUUCAUUACUUAAAUGGAGUUCCUUCCCCACCCGACAUUCAAGUUCCUGGAACAAGCCAUUUUGAACAUUUAUGUAACUAUCUUUCCCUACCAAACAACCUCAUUUGCCUUUUUCAAGAAAAUAGUGAGAUAAUGAAUUCACUGAUUGAAAGUUGGUGCCGUAACAGUGAAGUUAAAAGAUAUCUAGAAGGUGAAAGAGAUGCUAUAAGAUAUCCAAGAGAAUCUAACAAAUUAAUAAACCUUCCAGAGGAUUACAGCAGCCUCAUUAAUCAAGCAUCCAAUUUCUCGUGCCCGAAAUCAGGUGGUGAUAAGAGCAGAGCCCCAACUCUGUGCCUUGUGUGCGGAUCUCUGCUGUGCUCCCAGAGUUACUGCUGCCAGACUGAACUGGAAGGGGAGGAUGUAGGAGCCUGCACAGCUCACACCUACUCCUGUGGCUCUGGAGUGGGCAUCUUCCUGAGGAGUACGGGAAUGUCAGGUGCUAUUUUUAGCUGGCAAAACCAAAGGCUGUUUUUAUUCUCCUCCUUACCUUGAUGACUAUGGGGAGACCGACCAGGGACUCAGACGGGGAAAUCCUUUACAUUUAUGCAAAGAGCGAUUCAAGAAGAUUCAGAAGCUCUGGCACCAACACAGUGUCACAGAGGAAAUUGGACAUGCACAGGAAGCCAAUCAGACACUGGUCGGCAUUGACUGGCAACAUUUAUAAUUAUUGCACCACCAAAAAACACAAACUUGGAUUUUUUUAACCCAGUUGGCUUUUUAAGAAAGAAAGAAGUUCUGCUGAAUUUGGAAAUAAAUUCUUUAUUUAAACUUUCCUUCCCAGUUUUAUAGUUUCUGGUUCUGAGGACUGAUGAAAAUCAUCUUCCAUCAGCAGAUUUUCUUGCACUGUUUGCUGUGCCCCUCAAAUAUAAUGUCUUGGGUUUUCAGAUCGAGCAAGGAGCUUCUCUUCCUAGAUUGGAUCCCAGCCCCUUUGUGGGGGUCUGACUGCAUAGUCCCAGCCAUUAUGUGAUAUUUCACGUUAUUGAUGAUAGUGAACUGUGGGUCCGAAGCUGACUCAACGGAGGCAGGGAACAAAGUCUCUGUGGUCUGUUGGGUCAUACUUCCUGGUUCCACUGAGUGGCCCAACACUGGGACUGGGUUGGUGUCCCCUCUGCUGACAGGACCCUACUCCUAGGAGCAAAGUGGUUGAUUUUGAAGGCAGUGUUCCCUUCUCUGCAUUGACUAUGAGAGAGUUGGGGGACACACAUGCAGAAGAAGCCCGUGGGGAGAAGGUGGAUUCCUGGUGUGCUGGCUGGUUUUUCAGGGCUGUUAGAGGUUUUUUUUUUUCUUUUUUUUUUUUUUAUGGCAAGACUUUUGGCUUUGAGAAAACUCACUUAGAGGGCUUUCCAAAAACUUAGGAUGGUCUAAAAAAUUAGGAUAUUCUUUUAGAAUUAGGAAGAAAAAUUAGGAUAUUCUAAAAGAAUAUGGAUUAAAAAUUUAGGAUAUUCUUUUAGAUAUCCUAAUAUCUAGAUGAGAGGCCUUCCUUCAUAAGAUCUGGUUGUUUGGGCUGUGGUUGGCAUAAGUGAUAUUUAUUUUGGCCUCUGUCACAUCCAGUUUCUUGAGCUUUUAAGGUAAGCUUCUUUUGGCUUUUUUUCAGAUGUUCACCAAGCUUAAGUUUAAAAUAAUAGGUAUUCUAAAAGAGUAUCCUAAUUUUCUUAUCUGUAUUCUUUUAGAAUACCCUAAUGUUUCAGACAGUGAUAUUCUCUUGUUAUUUCUAAGGCUAAAUUGGCAGAGUAUAUCAUCUAAAACCAAACACUGAAGAAGGUGAGAACCCACUCCCACCCAGCCAGCAUUUCCUGGAACAGACAAGCUGCUGCUUCCUUGCUGGCUCACUUAGUGCAUUCCUGGGAUGGUCUGGCACCCAGGCUUUUUAUUCUUUUUGAUCAUUGUUCUUACUGAGGUGCCUUCCUAGAACAAGAGCCACUUACAAAAUAGCUUAUAAUUAUUAUGUACCACACAACUACUAUUGUUUGAUGUAUGACUGCUGAGAGCUUGAAUACAUGCAGAGAGUGACUGAAGACUUAAUAGAGGAAUAAAUUCUGAGCCUGUCUAAGGUGGGGCUAAGGAACAGAUGAGUAAUAAGAGGCUCUUGGAUUUUUUUAACCAAUGCAACUGACCCUUUCAAUCAGUUUUCUUUGAAUUACAUCUACAAGUUUUGUUCCACUCAGCUACCAGUCAACUAGGCAUGCUCCACAGUAUCGCAGGAAGAAGGUCAGAAAUCUGGAACUGAAGCUAAAAGAAGUGAGGAUGUAGAAGCCACAUUCCUCUCCAAGGUAGUGUGUGAAAGAACCGCCCCCUCUUGACAGGAGGAUGACCAUCACCAUUCUUGCGUGGGACUGACUCACCCAGCUGAGAGGAGGACCAAUAGAAAGAAAAUUCACAUUUGAGUCCACCUCUCUCCCCCUUUUUCUGGCCUUCAUUCAUAAGAUCUGGUUGUUUGGGCUGUAGGUGGCAUAAUUCAUGUUUAUUUUGGCCUCUGUCACAUCCAGUUUCUUUAGCUUUUAAGGUAAGCUUCUUUUGGCUUUUUUUCAUAUGUUCACCAAGCUAAAAUUUAAAAUAAUAAGACCAGGUUUCUCUCUCUACAAGUGGAUUAUAAACAUUUUCACCAAAUCAUAACAAUACUCCAGCUUUCCGGUCCGACUUCC